rnacentral:rRNA from 1 species
UACGGAGGGUGCGAGCGUUGUCCGGAAUCACUGGGCGUAAAGGGCGCGUAGGUGGUCCUUUAAGCGUGUGGUGAAAGCUCGGGGCUCAACCUCGAGUCGGCCAUGCGAACUGGGGGACUGGAGCACUGUAGAGGCAGGUGGAAUUCCGGGUGUAGCGGUGGAAUGCGCAGAUAUCAGGAAGAACACCCGUGGCUAAGGCGGCUCUCUAGUACGGUACUGACGCUGAGACGCGAAAGCGUGGGGAGCGAACAGG